rfam:Triticum aestivum genome assembly, contig: Triticum_aestivum_CS42_TGACv1_scaffold_220755_3B
GACAUACUUCCUUCGUCUGAAAAAACUUGUCCCAAAUGUAUCUUUUAAAUUGAUGUAUCUAACACUAACUUGAUACUAGAUACAUUCAUUUGAGGCAUAAGCUUUUUCGGACGAAGGGAGUAGGUC